rnacentral:rRNA from 1 species
GGCUGCGAUGGAUAGCUGAUCUGAGAGGGUGAUCAGUCACACUGGGACUGAGAUACGGCCCAGACUCCUACGGGAGGCAGCAGUGAGGAAUAUUGCGCAAUGGAGGAAACUCUGACGCAGCAACGCCGCGUGGGGGAUGAAGCACUAUGGUGUGUAAACCUCUGUAGGUUGGGAAGAACGACAUGUAUUCGUAAGGGUAUGUGUUUGACGGUACCAUCAAAGUAAGCUCCGGCUAACUCCGUGCCAGCAGCCGCGGUAAUACGGGGGGAGCAAGCGUUGUCCGGAAUUACUGGGCGUAAAGGGCGUGUAGGUGGUUAAAUAAGUCAGAUGUGAAAGCUUCCGGCUUAACCGGAAAACUGCAUUUGAAACUGUUUAGCUUGAGUGCGAGAGAGGGUAGCGGAAUUCCCAGUGUAGCGGUGAAAUGCGUAGAUAUUGGGAAGAACACCAGUAGCGAAGGCGGCUACCUGGCUCGCAACUGACGCUAAUGCGCGAAAGCGUGGGGAGCAAACAGGAUUAGAUACCCUGGUAGUCCACGCUGUAAACGAUGGGCACUAGGUGUUGGUUGGUCAUAGACUAAUCAGUGCCGGAGCAAACGCAUUAAGUGCCCCGCCUGGGGAGUACGAUCGCAAGGUUGAAACUCAAAGGAAUUGACGGGGGCCCGCACAAGCGGUGGAGCAUGUGGUUUAAUUCGAUGCAACGCGAAGAACCUUACCGGGGUUUGACAUCAUAGCGGAGUUUGCAGAGAUGUAAAUGCCUUUCGGGGCGCUAUGGCAGGUGCUGCAUGGCUGUCGUCAGCUGUCGUGAGAUGUUGGGUUAAGUCCCGCAACGAGCGCAACCCUUGUCUCUAGUUACCAGCGAGUAAUGUCGGGGACUCUAGAGAGACUGCCGGUGACAAACUGGAGGAAGGUGGGGAUGACGUCAAGUCCUCAUGGCCCUUACAUCCCGGGCUACACACGUGCUACAAUGGCCGGUACAACGAGUCGCAAUACCGCGAGGUGGAGCCAAUCUCUAAAAACCGGUCUCAGUUCGGAUUGCAGUCUGUAACUCGACUGCAUGAAGCCGGAAUCGCUAGUAAUCGCGGAUCAGCACGCCGCGGUGAAUACGUUCCCGGGCCUUGUACACACCGCCCGUCACGCCAUGGGAGUCGGCAGUACCCGAAGCCGGUUCAAUAAGAAUCGUCGAAGGUAAGGCUGGUGACUGGGGCGAAGUCGUAACAAGGUA